UUUUUAUAACAAUUGCCAUAUAGAAUGAGCUAUUACUUGCCCUUCUUGAAAUUUGGUGUAAAAGGUAUUGAUUCAGGUAUUCAGAGAGAAAGACCUAGCUUAUGUUGAAGAUGAAGAAUGGUCUCAAUGCCAAAACCCUAAGCUCGUCGUAGCCAUUGCUGCCGCCAUCGCCACCGCCGUCGAGCAAAGGCGCCUCCUCCACCAACGCAUCUCUAGAUCUGGCAGAAAUGCCCAAACCAAACCCCUGAGUUCGAUCGAGAAAAAGCGCCUCUUCGCAAGCGAUGCUGUCGCUGCAUUCGGCUCUGCCAUUUCCUCCUCUUCACAACACUGCUCCUCCGCCGCUUGCACCGCCACCGGUCUUGCGCGUAGGCGCACAAGAUCGUCGUUGCCGGAUUUUGUUGUUGUUGUAGACGUUGCCGUCGCCAACGGUUGUUGCUGCUCCUCUGUUUAUCUUUGGUGACCAAACUUGUUGCUCAUUGUUCAUUGCUACUAUGCUCCUCUGUUUUUCUCUGGUCACGAUCGCUACUUCUCCCUCUUGACAUAUUUUUCAGUUGUUGAAUUUUCAUUUUGCUCAAUUAAUUGUGUAGUUUGAAUAUUCAGAAGCCUGAGUUUUCAUUUUUGGUUUUAUCUUCUUUUGUGGAAUUUGACAGAAGAGAGUUCAUAGAGACAUUUCCUGUUUGUCAUUAUUGAAAGGUAAUUUUUUCAACAUUCUAUUGUAUUAUGGUGUACAUAGGGAGGUAUAGGGUGUUCAUUACUUUAUUUGAUAACAGUCACAGAAGUGUGAAGUUGUAGGUUUCUAUUUCCUGUGAAUGCUAAGUAAUGUAAAUAGGUUUCAUGGUUUGGAUUAUAGGAAUUAUCAAAGUAAAAUGUUGUUGUUUUGGGCAUAAAAAAUACCCUUAUUCAAGAAGUGAGACUCAAAGAAGAAGAAACCCCUGUGACGCAGAGAAAAUGUGUAGCAAAUA